rnacentral:rRNA from 1 species
CUUCCUACGGGGCGCAGCAGUGAGGAAUAUUGGUCAAUGGGCGGAAGCCUGAACCAGCCAAGUCGCGUGAGGGAAUAAGGCCCUACGGGUCGUAAACCUCUUUUGCCGGGGAGCCCGGUCGGGGACGUGUCCCGGCCCGGAGAGUCCCCGGAGAAAAAGCAUCGGCUCCCUCCGUGCCAGCAGCCGCGGUAAUCCGGCGGCUGCGAGCGUUAUCCGGCUUUAUUGGGUUU